UGUAGUUCAGUGGUAGAGCAUUUGUCUAGCACACACAAGGCCCUGAGUUCAAUCCUCAGUA
rnacentral:tRNA from 1 species